rnacentral:lncRNA from 1 species
UUUAGUGCUCUAUGCAUGCGCCGCAAGAUUUGAUGUGACGGAAAAUCUUGAAUUUUUUUUUUGUUUUUUGGGUGAACUAAACAAGGCCGAGAUGUAUACGCCAAAACGAUAUUUUUGGGGAACGAAGGAAGUAGUCGGGAAGUGUUCGGAUCUCACAGUCACAGCUACAGGACAUUUGUGAUGAUGAUGGGGGUUAAACACGAGGUAAUAAAAGUUUUUCUGACGGAACUGGAAGGGCGUGAGCCCCUGCAGGAAUUUUUAUAUAAAAUAAAGGAGUUCGGAACAGUUACAGUUAAAAAAAAGUGGGAAGGGGAUUAACGAGGUAAUAAAAGUAAUUAGCUCUUUUUAAUAAUAAAAUCUACUCCGUAUAAAGUUGUGGGCCGUGCCGAAGAGCAUAUGACGGCGACGAGGCAGCCACGAUCCCUGAUCCACCCCAUAGCGCAUGGCAUAUGUCAUGCUGUUGCCUCUCCGUUCCGUCCUACCUGUUCUGUCGUGUUGUUGUCCGAUUCCGACCCUCGACGUACGUACUGUACUGUACUCCAGUUGAACCGCCGCAGGGAGCACGGACAGUGAUAGCCGUUACACUGCACCGUGGACGGG